CAGACUCCAAAUUUGUAGAGGACAAGGCUAGUUUGUUGUUGUCAUAUAAGUCAUCAUGUUAGCAAGCAAGGACCUUAUUUUCCAAAUUCAUUUUUAUUACUUUCUUAUUUACAGGCUGAUCUAUUUCUGUUGGCUCCCCCCUUGUCUAUUUUACAAUCAUCUUUCAAUGUGAAGAACGAAAUUAUCUCACCUCAACCUGGGCUCAUGGAGCUUCUGCGACGAUUUCGUCGACUUCUUAUUUCCUAUCCAUUUCUGUCUAAUUUGGUUCCAGAGAAGACGACCUACAGCCAAAGCCUUCUAUUAUAAGAUCAAAAUCAUAAAAACAAAAUUAAGUAAAACCUCAAACGAACAAGUAAUAGCAACUAUUGUGCGCACAGGUUACAAAUAAACGAAUACCACACCCUACAAAGUGCCAAUGGGCCUAACUGAAUAUAUUUUCCUUCUCAAGAAUAGUAGUUUUAUUUCCUGGCGAAGAUUCUCCAAUGGAAAUCAAAAAAAUCGAUCCAUUUAUAAUCCUCCACUAGUUCGAUUAAUGGAUUGCCCAAUUGGAAAUGACAACAGAAGGCACAAGUCAUUAGAAGAAGUUCUAAAAUGCAAUACAUACAGUAUACCGACAAAUUACCCUAUUUCCUCUAGUGAGGGCUUGUUAGACAUUAACCGGGAUUAAAGUAGGACAGCCAACAAAUCACAUUCCACCAUGAACCAAAAUAUGUAGCCUCACGAUAGAAAACAAAGUAUCCUCUGACAUUGGCAAACCAAAAUAUAAAUGACAUCGAACAGUAAUUAACGUUACCAACAAUGGACAAAUCAACUUGCCGUGAUUUAUAUAUUCAGAAGCGUUGUUCGAACAACUAGCAUCAUAAAGAUGAACUUAUUGUUGAAAUGCUUCCAAGUGACUGAACUGCACUAUUUUCCAUCUCACAUGCACUGGUGGUUCAGAAGUCCUCAGAUAGCUAGCUUUUGAAGCCAUCAAAGAGUGGCGUUUUGGACCUUGCACGGGCUUGUUAUGUGAAGAAAUCAAUUCCACUUUAGUACAGCAUCCAAUACAACCACUGCUCUGUUUCAAAUGACAUCAGCUGUAAGAAAUCAACUUAAGCAGCACAGAGUGACUAAAAUCAUGUAUUAAUACUUCAAGUUCUCUGAUGAGAUAAUUCCUCCCAUCCAACCCCAAAAAAAUCAUAUAGAAAGAAAUUGAAAAUUAUACAUAUUUCUCUAACCACAAGACAAGUGGAAACCAUGUUGACAAUAACUGCAAAUGAACCGAGUCAAGCCAGGCAGAGGUUCUUCUUGUUUGUUUAUUUAAUAGGCAAGAUUAUGUUCAGCCAAUGUUCUUAAUGAGCUUAAAUUGUGAGUUCUUGAUUGUCCCUUUGUUCACAGAAUGAACAACUCUAUUUGGAAUAAAAUUUACAAUAUUGAGGGUAUAUUUCCAAACAUAUUUUGAAAAAAA
rnacentral:lncRNA from 1 species